GGGUCAGUAGGUUGGUCGUGCCACCGGUACGUACUGGUCUCACUGAUUCCUCCUUCCUGAAGAACCGUAAUGCCAUUAAUUUGGUGUUGCGGGGAAACAGGACUGUUACUUUGAAAAAAUUAGAGUGUUUAAAGCAAGCUGACGCUUGGAUACAUUAGCAUGGAAUAAUGAAAUAGGACGAUCGAUCCUAUUUUGUUGGUUUCUAGGAUUGACGUA
rnacentral:rRNA from 1 species